CUUAGCCUUAAACAGGAUGUGAACCCUUGUCUUGAAAUUCUUUACCUUGAGCUGGGAUGAGCUUAAUUGUAUGCGAUGAAAAGGUUCAAGUUUGGGGUCGUAUGGAGGAAAAUUGAAAAGCAAUUGUGAAGCAUUGAGCUCAAAUGUUGUGAAAAGAAAAAUUCAUGAGAAAAAGAAAAGAAAAGAAGAAAAGCAUGAACAGGAGCUCAAUGAAAAAGAAAAAGGGAAAAAGAUGGGAAUGAGUGAGAUUGGUGAGUGAUACGAGACGCUCCGAGCGAAGUUAACCGAAGGCGAUGCGGACUCCUCGAAGCUUCGCCGAAGAUGAAUGACGCAGCGGAAUAAUGAAACUCGGAGAACUCUAAGAACCCUAGGAUGACCUAUGGAACCCUAGAAAAGAGGGGAAACUGGAUUUGGACCGAUUAAACGGUGGGAAUGGUGUUUUAAUCGGUGGAGAUGGAAGAUCUAAGGUUGGAAAGAUGUUUAAUCGGUCAAAAGGCCGAAUCAAUUGGUAGAAAUGGACGGAGAAAAUGAACGAAAGAUUUUAAUCGGUGUAAACCAAAAGGAAUGACGAAGGAUGAUGGUUUGUGAAGGAAAUGGAACUUACAGAGUAUGAAGAAUUCGAGCUAUGAUGAAGNNNNNNNNNNNNNNNNNNNNNNNNNNNNNNNNNNNNNNNNNNNNNNNNNNNNNNNNNNNNNNNNNNNNNNNNNNNNNNNNNNNNNNNNNNNNNNNNNNNNNNNNNNNNNNNNNNNNNNNNNNNNNNNNNNNNNNNNNNNNNNNNNNNNNNNNNNNNNNNNNNNNNNNNNNNNNNNNNNNNNNNNNNNNNNCUAAAUGUACCCCAUGCCUAACACAUUGUACACAUCUCUAAUACAAGUAAAAGAAAUACUACACUAAAGACAUUGGGCUUGGGCCCCGCGUAUCAUCCCCUCCCUCUUGGAAAGGAUUUGUCCUCAAAUCUGAUGGUUCGCCUGAGGACUUAUUAUUGUAAUCUCCAUGGAAGUUCCUCCUGGAUCAAAUAUUAAUCUGCAAUAAGCAUCAAACAUAUCUCUAAUUAGUUUAAUUUGACCCAAUAAGAUGUAUAAAGAAAGAUGUUUAGAGGAAGGUUUCCUAGCUUUGAAAUUUUCAAGUUUAUGACUAAAAAGAAACCUUACUCCAUUUGAAAAUAUAUUUUUGUCUUGAAUUAGUGAUAACUUGGAAGAUAUCUCUAACUCAAGUCUUUGAUUGCCAUGUGUUAAAAAUUGCAACUUUUGAAAAGGUUUAAUGGCAAAUUCUUGGAAAGAAAAGGUAGAAUUAAAGCAUUCAAUAACAAUUGGAAAGUGAAAAGAUAGAAAACCUCCCCUUAAAAAUUUGUGUUCUAUUGUGAGAAUAGGGGAUGUUGCCAUUUCUUUCUUCUUUUCUUCCAUGUCUUUCUUUUCAUGUUCUUUCUUCUCUUCCUCUUCCUUUCUUUCUUUCUCUCUUAUUUUCUCUUCUUCUCUUCUCUCUUGUACUCUUCUCUCUCUUUCUUCCUCUUCUUUUUUCUCUCUUUCUUCUUCUUCUCUUCUCACUAGUUCUCUUCUCACUAGUUCUUUUCUCACUCUUUCUUCCUCUUCUUUUCUCUCUUGUUCUCUCUUUCUCUCUCUUUCUCUUUGUCUUUCUUCUUGUUUUCUCUCUUUUUUUCUCUCUUGUCUCUCUAUUCUUUCUUGUAAUUGCCUAUGUUCUCUCUCAAUUCUUCUUGUACGUCCCUCAUUCAAGAACUUCAUGAGUUUUUCUCUAAACUCUAUUUUCCUUUGAUAGAAUCCACUUAAAUUUUGAAUGAAUAAUUUGCCUUCUCUAAUAAGCUCUCUCAUAAGUUCUAAGUUACUUUGAAUAUUUGGAGAGAUAAACUUUCUUCUCAAACAAGCUUUCAAUUCUUUCCAAUUAUGAAUGGGAAAUUUUCUACCUAUUCUAACAUGAUAUUCUCUUUCAUCCCACCACUCUUUUGCAUACCNUUCAAAUCUAGAAAUGUAAAGAUUCAUGAUAUAUGAUUCACAGUCACGAGAAUAAUAAGAUUCAGAUUGACUUCUUCUAACCAUAAAGAAAUGCAUGUCACCAAUUUCCUUUUCCCAAGCUAAGUAAGUAAAUGCACCAAUAUCCUCACCAAAGAAAGGAAUAUUUUCCCUAGCUUGUUUAUACAAAGUAUUUUCAAUCCUAUCAAACUCAUGAGAUGAACAAGUCUGCCUUAUAGCUUUAUCAUGUUCUCUUUUAAUUUCUUUAAAACUAAUGGGCUGAUCAAAAUUAAAGUUCCUAGAUGAACUAAAUGAACUAGACAACCUAGAUGAAUAACAAAACAUUUUUUUGAAAAUCAAAAUGCAAAACUCAAAAGAAACAAACAAUGAAAACGAACUCUAAGACCCCUAAAACGUACGGACUCUAAUGUGACAAAGGUCACACCUAACGUGAAACACAGAAACAAUUCAAUAUUAAAUUCUACUCCUAUGUCUAGCUAUGCUAAAAUUAAAGCAAUUAAAGUUGCCAAGAUUUGGAAAGAGCACCAAGGACUCUUCCAAAUACUUGGACUUUAUAAAAGGCCAUUUACAACCCAAACCUAAAGCUACCAGUGGGCUAAACACAGGCCCAUCAGAUUACACACAAAAAAAAAAAAUACAAACAAAACUAUGAUAUUGGUCUGCUACGGCCCCACACUGCUACACUGCUGCUACGGUCCAGUUCAUCUUGCACGAAAUCUUCAAAUGUCCAAAUAUUCCUUGCAGCUCUCGUUCUAAAUAAAAAAUGUCCAAUCCUGCAAACACAAAUAAUCACAAAGUUUUUGUCACUUGCACCCCUUUAACCAAACAGAUGAUAGAAUAGAUUUAUAUAUGGCAGAAAGCACAUCUCUGUCUUAGACUUGUACACUUGAUGCAACUAAAGGAAUUUCUCUUUGCUCUCAAAGUACAAACUGCAAUCAAAUAUUCACACUCAAUUCAGCAAGUCACAACAUUCAACAAAGUGCAAGUCAUAACACGAUCAAUUUAAUCAAUCAACUUCCCUAUGCCAAUGCUAUCUCCAGCUGUGGGUUACACAAUGUUUAGCUCUCGAUUCUAUCAAUUAUCGCAGCAGUACUACAUCAAUAUUCAAUACUCAGCAGAGCACUUAAUGCAACAAAAUACAAGCCAUAAUACAAACAUAUAUCAAAAACUUCCAUAGAUCAGCUAUUCACACACAAACAUAUACUAGAUUCCAGCAAAUACAAAUGGAAUUUAGACAUGAACCAGAUUUAGGUGUAUGUAAUGCAGAUCUGAGAUUGAACUUCUUAAACAACCAACCUUAGCUAUUCAAAAUCUAAUCAAUCCAUUUGCAAUGCAGAAAUGCCUACAAGCUAAUUCAGAAUGAUGCUUAAUUACUUCAAACAGAUCAACUUAUGCACAAUUAUGUCACACACAAUAGAUAUAGAUGUAUCUAAGGAAAAAUGUAACAGCUAAGUGACAUUCAGUAAUAAGCACGCAUUCAACUUAUCCAAUAAGCACGCAUUCAACUUAUCCAAUAAGAUCAAGAAAUCAAUGAUUCACUUUCAAAACAAUGAUUAUAUCACUGAGUCAGCAAUCAGAUUAUAAUAUAAAUGCAACAGAAUUCAAUAAGCAGUUUUAAUGUAAUAAAAUUGUCUAUCUUGGUCCAAUGGGUUGCAUUCUCCUAGCUUACUCAAUCUGCACAAUAAUCAACAAACAGUUAGAUGACAAUUCAAGUUCAAGACUUCUUUCAGCACUUGAAACUAUAAUACACUCAACAAAAAUAUUUGGCUUUCAGGUGCAGCCACACAAAGCUCACAACAAUCAAGAUUAUUUCUGAAGGUUUCUCUUUAAAAACAUGAAACACACAAACGAAGGUUUGGAAGGGAGAUUCUCCCUUGUUAGUUCAGGGCUGGAGAGUCUUUUAGACCACCACCACCUAAGAUGCUACCAGGCACACAAACCCUCUUUCAAUUUCCAAAAAACCAAAGAGUGAACAAUGCUUCUCAAAUAGGCAAAGGCUAGACUAAGCAAAGAUCACUGUGAUAGGCAGAACAAAACAGGACAUACACAACCGGAUACUGACAGCAGAGAAGAAAAGACAGCUCUAGACAGACUCUAGACCAGAUUACAAAAGCAAAGAAAGCUCAAAUUAAGAACAGCAGAAUAGAUUGCACUUGUAAUGGACAAAACCAGAUUUAGCAAUUAAGACAAGCAAUGAACAAAGCUAUCAAGAACAGCUGGCACACAAACAGAACCUAGGAAUAGCUCUAGAACAGAUUUAAAACACAAACAAAUGACUCAAUCAACAAAAGAGGUGCAGUCAAUGAUAAAAUGCAAAUUCCACAAACUGUUUGUUAAUAUGCCUCAAAGACAGUCCAGCUAGUACUAAAUUUUACAAUCUGCAGACUUUCCAAAACAGCCUGUUGCACGGAUUCAAUGCUUUUUUCUUCACUGUCAAUUCAUUUUCUUUUGAUUGCUAUAUUUCUUUUAUAUGGAAUCCAGCUUUUGCUACAACAUUUUUAUAGAAUUUAAGCACACUUCAGCUGGACUUAACACAAUUAUGCAGCACUUGAGUUGGACUGGUCAGAGUUUAAGAAAAAAUGGACUAGUUGACUAGUGAAAAUGCACAAAUCCAAAUAAAGUCAAUUCCUCUUUGCUCCAACAAGUUUUAAUGAUGAUUUGAAUCUUGUUUGACGAAAAAUUUUGCACAGAUUCAGCUUAUAUCAGAUUAUGAUAUGUGCAGUUCCUUAUGCAUUUUCACUCAAUCACUCUAACAGCCAAAUUGUGAAACAGCAGAUUAAACUGAAUGAAUGCACCGGAAUUGAACUUAAAACAGUAUGGAAAACUUGCUCAAAUAGCAGAACAGCAAUUUUAGAUGGUUGGUAAUGAACUAAACACUCAACCAGAUUUGACACACACAAAAAGAGCUUUAGCAAUGAACUUAGGCAGUUCGGCCUACUGCCUGAUGAAAACAGAUGCCAUGAACUUUCCAGUUAUACUACCAAUUGCAAAAGCAAUAUCAGGAUUUACAGUAUUCACUCUGGAUUUUAGUUCAACACAAGCUUGAAACACCACAAACAGCCAAUGUAACAGUAAUUUGCAACCAAAUGUCGUAUGAGAACAAUUGCAGUAUGCAUUUUAGUUUCUUCUCAAAUCUGAUUGCUAUGUUGUCACCGAGCUAAUUCAGUUGAAUGUCAUUGCUCUUUAAUGAUGAACAAUCAUGUAUGUGCAACUCAGACUUCAAUGAAGACAAACACCUUUACGGUUGACACAGAAUUGAAGACAGAAAAAAAAUCAAUGCAUAUGAUACACAAGACUUGACAGAUCUAGAUGGAUUACGGAAAAAAAUAAAGACUCAAACUGGAAUUGACUGAAUAAAAUGCUCAAACAAGACUCGACUCAAAGCACAGAAUCAAAUCUGAAAACUCAAGACAAUGCAGGAAAAUAAUGAACAACUCAAUAAACGCAACAAGAUACUCAUAAUCAAAAUCAAAACAGAAGCGAGACUCAGAAUCAAAUGAAACAACUCAUACCGAAUCAGAAUCAAGACAAAAUCGAAACAAGAUGAAAAACAAAAUCAGAGAUAGAGACAGAGAUACUUAUCUGUUGAAGCAUGCUCAAACUGAGCUCUGAAUACCACUUGAUACGAGACGCUCCGAGCGAAGUUGACCAAAGGCGAUGCGGACUCCUCGAAGCUUCGUCGAAGAUGAAUGACGCAGCGGAAUAAUGAAACUCGGAGAACUCUAAAAACCCUAUGAUGACCUAUGGAACCCUAGAAAAGAAGGGAAACUGGAUUUGGAUCGAUUAAACGGUGGGAAUGGUGUUUUAAUCGGUGGAGAUGGAAGAUCUAAGGUUGGAAAGAUGUUUAAUCGGUCAAAAGGCCGAAUCAAUCGGUAGAAAUGGACGGAGAAGAUGAACGAAAGCUUUUAAUCGGUGUAAACCAAAAGGAAUGACGAAGGAUGAUGGUUUGUGAAGGAAAUGGAACUUACAGAGUAUGAAGAAUUCGAGCUAUGAUGAAG
rnacentral:lncRNA from 1 species